rnacentral:rRNA from 1 species
AACGAACGCUGGCGGCAGGCUUAACACAUGCAAGUCGAGCGCCCCGCAAGGGGAGCGGCAGACGGGUGAGUAACGCGUGGGAAUCUACCCAUCUCUACGGAAUAACGCAUGGAAACGUGUGCUAAUACCGUAUACGUCCUUCGGGAGAAAGAUUUAUCGGAGAUGGAUGAGCCCGCGUUGGAUUAGCUAGUUGGUGGGGUAAAGGCCUACCAAGGCGACGAUCCAUAGCUGGUCUGAGAGGAUGAUCAGCCACACUGGGACUGAGACACGGCCCAGACUCCGACGGGAGGCAGCAGUUGGGAAUAUUGGACAAUGGGCGCAAGCCUGAUCCAGCCAUGCCGCGUGAGUGAUGAAGGCCCUAGGGUUGUAAGUCUCUUUCACCGGUGAAGAUAAUGACGGUAACCGGAGAAGAAGCCCCGGCUAACUUCGUGCCAGCCGCCGCAGUAACAC